rnacentral:rRNA from 1 species
GUAGGUGGCAAGUGUUGUCCGGAUUUACUGGGUGUAAAGGGCGUGCAGCCGGGCCCUUAAGUCAGAUGUGAAAUCCGCGGGCUUAACCCGCGAACUGCAUUUGAAACUGAGAGUCUUGAGUACCGGAGAGGUUAUCGGAAUUCCUUGUGUAGCGGUGAAAUGCGUAGAUAUAAGGAAGAACACCAGUGGCGAAGGCGGAUAACUGGACGGCAACUGACGGUGAGGCGCGAAAGCGUGGGGAGC